UAAGGAAUAUUGGUCAAUGGAGGCAACUCUGAACCAGCCAUGCCGCGUGCAGGAAGAAGGCCCUAUGGGUCGUAAACUGCUUUUGAACAAGAGAAAACCCCGGUACGUGUACUGGGUUGAUAGUAUUGUUAGAAUAAGCAUCGGCUAACUUCGUGCCAGCAGCCGCGGUAAGACGAAGGAUGCAAGCGUUAUCCGGAUUCAUUGGGUUUAAAGGGUGCGUAGGCGGACUGAUAAGUCAGUGGUGAAAUCCCUCGGCUUAACCGAGAAACUGCCAUUGAUACUGUUAGUCUAGAGUACAGAUGAUGUGGGCGGAAUAUGACAUGUAGUGGUGAAAUACUUAGAUAUGUCAUAGAACACCGAUUGCGAAGGCAGCUCACAAAACUGUAACUGACGCUGAGGCACGAAAGUGCGGGGAUCAAACAGGAUUAGAUACCCACGUAGUCCCUGAGCGGGCUGGCAAGGCGCAU
rnacentral:rRNA from 1 species